rnacentral:rRNA from 1 species
UACGGAGGUGGCAAGCGUUGUUCGGAAUUACUGGGCGUAAAGGGCGCGUAGGCGGCAUAACAAGUCAGAUGUGAAAGCCCCGGGCUUAACCUGGGAACUGCAUCUGAAACUGUAAUGCUUGAGUUCUGGAGGGGGUAGUGGAAUUCCCAGUGUAGCGGUGAAAUGCGUAGAUAUUGGGAGGAACACCUGCGGCGAAGGCGGCUACCUGGACAGAGACUGACGCUGAGGCGCGAAAGCUAGGGGAGCGAACGGG